GAUGAACGCUGGCGGCGUGCCUAAUACAUGCAAGUCGAGCGAACAGACGAGGAGCUUGCUCCUCUGACGUUAGCGGCGGACGGGUGAGUAACACGUGGAUAACCUACCUAUAAGACUGGGAUAACUUCGGGAAACCGGAGCUAAUACCGGAUAAUAUAUUGAACCGCAUGGUUCAAUAGUGAAAGACGGUUUUGCUGUCACUUAUAGAUGGAUCCGCGCCGCAUUAGCUAGUUGGUAAGGUAACGGCUUACCAAGGCAACGAUGCGUAGCCGACCUGAGAGGGUGAUCGGCCACACUGGAACUGAGACACGGUCCAGACUCCUACGGGAGGCAGCAGUAGGGAAUAUUCCGCAAUGGGCGAAAGCCUGACGGAGCAACGCCGCGUGAGUGAUGAAGGUCUUCGGAUCGUAAAACUCUGUUAUUAGGGAAGAACAAAUGUGUAAGUAACUAUGCACGUCUUGACGGUACCUAAUCAGAAAGCCACGGCUAACUACGU
rnacentral:rRNA from 1 species